UACGUAGGGGGCGAGCGUUAUCCGGAUUUACUGGGUGUAAAGGGAGCGUAGACGGCGAUGCAAGUCUGGAGUGAAAACCCAGGGCUCAACCCUGGGAUUGCUUUGGAAACUGUAUAGCUGGAGUGCAGGAGAGGCAGGCGGAAUUCCUAGUGUAGCGGUGAAAUGCGUAGAUAUUAGGAGGAACACCAGUGGCGAAGGCGGCCUGCUGGACUGAGACUGACGUUGAGGCUCGAAGGCGUGGGGAGCAA
rnacentral:rRNA from 1 species